GUUUGGCAUGAGCGCCACUUGAAUCCACGAUCCGUGCGGUGGGAUGAAGGAUCUAGGGUUGUAACCUCUUUCAGGAGGGAAGAAGAUGACAGUACCUCCACAAGACGCCCCGGCCUACUACCUGCCAGCAGCCGCGGUAAUACGUAGGGGGCGAGCGUUGUCCGGAUUUGUUGGGCGUAAAGAGCUCGUAGGCGGUUCAACAAGUCCGUCGUGAUUCUUCAGGGCUCCACCCUGAGAUGUCCAUUGAUGCUGUUGUGACUAUGAUCGGUAGAGGUGAGUGGAAUUCCUAGUGUAGCGUGAAAUUGCGAAAAUUUUCGGAGGACCACCUGUUGCGAAGGCUCCUCGCUGGGCCGCUCUCGCCGCUGAGGACCAAAAGCUGGGGGAGCAAACAGGAUAAAAUCCGCUGGUACUCCCAGCUGUAAACGAUGGAUACAAGACGUAGGAACUGUAUUGAUCGUUGCUGCGUCUCACCUAAUACGUUUACCACCCCGGCUGGGGAGUACCGUCACAAUACUACAACCAAAUGAAAUUGGACGGGA
rnacentral:rRNA from 1 species